UCAGCCAUAACGUGGGAGAGGGGGAGCAAGCGAGCGCGCGAUGGGACCCGAAAGAUGCUGGACUAUGCCCGAGCAGGAUGAAGCCAGAGGAAACUCUGGUGGAGGUCCGCAGCGAUUCUGACGUGCAAAUCGAUCGUCGAACUGGGUAAUAGGGGCAAUCAAUCAAUCAAUCAGUCUAGUAGCCGGUUCCUGUCGAAGUUUCCUUCAGGAUAGCUGGCACUCGUUGCAGUUUUAUCCGGUAAAGCGAAUGAUUAGAGGCCUUGGGGACGAAACGACCUCAACCUAUUCUCAAACUUUAAAUGGGUAAGAAGUCCGACUCGCUCGAUUGGAGCCGGGUCGUUGCGAAUGCGA
rnacentral:rRNA from 1 species